rnacentral:lncRNA from 1 species
UUAUUUAUAGGCCAUGAGAUUUAUUUUUGCACACUUCCAAAUUUGGAAAAUUUUGAAAUUCUCCUUUGCAUGGUUGCAUGGGCGUGUGCUAAGCUCACGAAAUGAUGUGAUCUGAUCCAUAAUUGAAUGUUAAUCUUGCUGAAACCAUGUUGGAAGGCCAUGCAAAUGUGUAUGAAAAAUGGAAGUUGAAAUUAUCCAAAUGGUCCUUUAACUUACACCCAUGCGCAAGUCCCUC